UCCCAUCGUUUUUGAUCUGAACAAAUCUCUUCAGACUUUCAUGGUGGCACUGCGAUCACACAUGCAAUGCUAAUGAGAAAUAUGAAAAUACAUGGUGGCAAAUCAAUAAACCUGCAAAUGUUCUGUGGCUGGGAAUUCUUGUAGGUUUGGUAAGCUAUUGGA
rnacentral:lncRNA from 1 species